ensembl:snRNA U6 U6 spliceosomal RNA
GUGUUCGCGUCAGCAGCACAUAUACUAAAACUGAGACAAUACUGAGAAGAUUAGCAUGGCCCCUGCGCAGGAAUAGUUGCAGAGUUUCUAACUUGU